CUAUGCCUGCGUAAGUUGAAUCCAGAGGAAACUCUGGUGGAGGACCGUGGCGAUUCUGGCGUGCAAUUAGAUCGUCAAAUGCGAGUGUAG
rnacentral:ncRNA from 1 species